rnacentral:tRNA from 3 species
CAGCAGUCUUGUAAACCAGAAACGGAGAUUAACUCACCCUGGGACA